UGAUGUUGUAAAGCUAUCAAAAUGAAAAAAGACUACAAGUAAUAUGACAUCUACAAUCAAGUUUAGAGAUUUCUUGACAACAUACAACAAUCAAGAUUUGCAGCUGGAAUCAUAUAUACGUGUACAGUAUUUCUAGGAGUGGAUCUUACUCUUGAGACUCUUGGAGUUGAAUUGAGCAACAAACUGUUCCAUCUUCAUAUCUAUACAUGGAUUUUCCUGCAAGCUUAGCCCUGAGUUGAAUCUGUGCGAAGAGAAUCUGAACUAGAAUCUGUUGCUACCUCAGAUAUUCUGGCCUCCGAUUUCUCGUUUGAAUAAGUUGAGAGUAUGGUCACCCAGAUAAGCUCCACACAAUCAACCCACAGGAGUCUUUGUUCUACAGGAAUAACACCGUAUGUGAUAAGAUGAGCAAACGGCCAAAGUUUCCAACCCGCGGUAAGCAUAGGCCAAAAUGUCGUCUUUAGUUCAUUAAAUAUAGAAACUGGGGACUCGAGCCGCAGGAAUCCUAAUACCACAAAAUAAAUACUGUUCCAAACUGCUGACCAUGCCGUUUGGUCGAAUGCUACUUUUGCAGGAACUACCCACCAAUCUUGGAAAGGAAAGAGACCCUCACAAAAAUGAUAGUAGUAGUGGGAAAGGGAACCAUGUAGAGAAAAGCCCACGAGGCCUGAUCUGAACAUGCGUGUGCGAUCAAAUUCAAAUAGAG
rnacentral:misc_RNA from 1 species